CUAAUACAAAUUUAGCGUUUAAUAAAUUAAAGAACAGAAUGUAGUAAAACCUUCUACAGGGGUGGGAGGUUUGUUCCACCUUCUCCCAGUUAUUAUUCUGGAAAUUAUAUUGUUAAAUCAUGAAAUCACAUAACCUGAAUUUAGACUUUCCAGAGAAACAGAACCAGGACUGUGGUUGGAGCUCAGCGGCGGACUAGCCUGCCAUGUGUGAGCCCAAGACAGGGUCUCCGUAUGUUGCCUUGUCUAGCCUGGAACUUACUACAUAGACCAAGGUGGC